GAUGAAGAACGUAGCGAAAUGCGAUACGUAAUGUGAAUUGCAAAUUCAGUGAAUCAUCGAGUCUUUGAACGCACAUUGCGCCCCCUGGUAUUCCGGGGGGCAUGCCUGUCCGAGCGUCAUUGCUGCCCUCAAGCACGGCUUGUGUGUUGGGCCCCGUCCUCCGAUCCCGGGGGACGGGCCCGAAAGGCAGCGGCGGCACCGCGUCCGGUCCUCGAGCGUAUGGGGCUUUGUCACCCGCUCUGUAGGCCCGGCCGGCGCUUGCCGAUCAACCCAAAUUUUUAUCCAGGUUGACCUCGGAUCAGGUAGGGAUACCCGCUGAACUUAAGCAUAUAUAAGCGGAGGA
rnacentral:misc_RNA from 1 species